AGAGUUUGAUCCUGGCUCAGGACGAACGCUGGCGGCGUGCCUAACACAUGCAAGUCGAACGAAGCAUUUGAUUGGAUCUCUUCGGAGUGAAGCUCUUAUGACUUAGUGGCGGACGGGUGAGUAACGCGUGAGUAACCUGCCUUUCAGAGGGGGAUAACAGUUGGAAACGACUGCUAAUACCGCAUAAUGUGACGGAAUCGCAUGAUUCUGUUACCAAAGCUGAGGCGCUGAAAGAUGGACUCGCGUCUGAUUAGAUAGUUGGUGAGGUAACGGCUCACCAAGUCGACGAUCAGUAGCCGGACUGAGAGGUUGAACGGCCACAUUGGGACUGAGACACGGCCCAGACUCCUACGGGAGGCAGCAGUGGGGGAUAUUGCACAAUGGGCGAAAGCCUGAUGCAGCAACGCCGCGUGAGGGAAGACGGUCUUCGGAUUGUAAACCUCUGUCUUUGGUGAAGAAGAAAGUGACGGUAGCCAAGGAGGAAGCCACGGCUAACUACGUGCCAGCAGCCGCGGUAAUACGUAAGUUGCGAGCGUUGUUCGGAAUCAUUGGGCGUAAAGGGCAUGUAGGCGGAUCUGCAAGCCUGAUGUGAAAUCCACGGGCUCAACCCGUGAACUGCAUUGGGAACUACAGAACUAGAGUCGCUGAAGCGAAACCGGAAUUCCUAGUGUAGCGGUGAAAUGCGUAGAUAUUAGGAGGAACACCAGUGGCGAAGGCGACUUACUGGACCGUAACUGACGCUGAGGCGCGAAAGCGUGGGUUGCAAACAGGAUUAGAUACCCUGGUAGUCCACGCCGUAAACGAUGGAUACUAGGUGUAGGAGGUAUCGACUCCUUCUGUGCCGGAGUUAACACAAUAAGUAUCCCACCUGGGGAGUACGAUCGCAAGAUUGAAACUCAAAGGAAUUGACGGGGGCCCGCACAAGCAGUGGAGUAUGUGGUUUAAUUCGAAGCAACGCGAAGAACCUUACCAGGACUUGACAUCCCGGUGACCGCUCUGGAGACAGAGUUUCCCUUCGGGGCACCGGUGACAGGUGGUGCAUGGUUGUCGUCAGCUCGUGUCGUGAGAUGUUGGGUUAAGUCCCGCAACGAGCGCAACCCCUAUUGUUAGUUGCCAGCGAGUAGAGUCGGGCACUCUAGCGAGACUGCCGGCGAUAAGUCGGAGGAAGGUGGGGACGACGUCAAAUCAUCAUGCCCCUUAUGUCCUGGGCUACACACGUACUACAAUGGCUGAAACAGAGGGAAGCGAAGCAGUGAUGUGGAGCAAAUCCCCAAAUACAGUCCCAGUUCAGAUUGCAGGCUGCAACUCGCCUGCAUGAAGGCGGAAUUGCUAGUAAUCGCGAAUCAGAAUGUCGCGGUGAAUACGUUCCCGGGCCUUGUACUCACCGCCCGUCA
rnacentral:rRNA from 1 species